ACAAUAGGCAAGUUCCUCCUGGAUCCUGAGACACCCUGGGGCCAGGGACAGAGCGUGUUGCUGGGUCUCUGGCACCCAGUAAGGUUGGAUAGCUACACCAUGGGACCAGUCUGGGGACUGGGUCUCUCUGUCCCUGCAAUGCCAUGGUAACUGCCAUCCUGCCUGAUUGAUCUUUCCAGGAGAACUCUGGUAGGAAAGACGUGACCAGGAGAUCCAGCACCUCCAGGGGGUGGGGAGGCCAGGAUAUCUCCCCACAACACAACCAAAAACCUUGUUGGGAUGAAGGGCCACCCUAGGUCCAGAACUCCCUAGGUCUGUGGGAGAGCGGGCCCUUCCACAGAUGCAUCCUCCCUGCCCAGCCCUCUUCUCCUACCUUGUUCCCAGUGCACCGAGAGCUGAGGAUCGGCACAGCCCCAUGGGUCACCCAACCACAGGAGUGUUCACCACAAACCAAGCUCCUCACGAGCUGGCAGUCAAUUUGUGGGACAGGAUGGUCCUCGAAUUGAGGGGUGGAACUGGUGAUGCAGGCCCUCAGAGGGAGGUCUAACCCCAGAACCAGGCUCAGGAUAGGGCUGAACCUCUGUACAGAGGCAAUGUCAUCAGAAAGCCAGGAAGAGCCCAGCUCUGGCAUUUUGGCUGGCAUGGGAGGGUGGUGAGUGUGCCCUGACAUGGGGGAGAGAUUGGCUGGCUUCCCAGCAAGGCUGCAGCACAGGUAGCCUCAAAGCACAGCCCAAACCUCUGGUUUUCUCUCCAAAAAGCCCUGCCAGCUUAGAGCAGAUGAAGAAUCACGUGUCUGACCACAGGCAGGCGGGCUUUCUCUCAAGCUCCCUGAAUGGGGCUGUGUGGAUUUAAGGGGGCAGCCCCCAGGCCCCUGCACUGUAAUCACCUCAUCCAAGCCACUCGGAUGCCAUGUCAUCAGUGGGGCCCCCUCCACCCCAGUGUUUCAUGAAGAGUGUUGCCGCACAGCCCCUGGCCUCCAACCCUCCUGCUCAGCCUCCCCCAUGACCACCCAUCCACAGGGCCGCCUUCAAGGAUGAUGGUAGCAUCGCUUGCCAUCACUUCUGAGGCUCCGCUGGCAUCCUUAGGUAUUGGGGUAACGUUGGGCCAGAGUGCUGGGUACCCAGGAGCCCUCCUUCAUGGGAGGACUUUGCAGGAUAUGAGAGAGUCUGCGGUCUCGGGGGUUUGCUAGCAGGCAGCCCUCGGACACGGCAACGUGAGCCAGAGCCAGAGACCCAGAUCCCAGGGGGCUGACAGACGGCUCUGUGCAGGCGGUCGGGCAGGGCUGGGCCCUAUUAUGUGGAGGAGCGGGGCCGAGCUGGCAUGUUGUCAUUCUAACCUGUGCAAAUCAGCAGGCUUAAUUGCUCCUGUCCUUUCAAGAUGACUCUCCACCAACAAUCUCAUUAUCACACACACAUUUAGUCCCGGUUUCCAGGGCUCUUCAUGCAGGAAGGGAGCAAGAGUAUGAUGUUAACCAACAGCAUUGUUUGUCCUCCUCCGCCCCUCACCGCCUCGGGAGCCGCUGGAGGCUGGGAAGCUGGGAGAGCCCAUCGCACUGAGGUGGGCAGCUGGGCAAGGAAGAGGCCUGGCUGGGCCAGAAGCCCCCAGCUCUGUCACACUCAGUGGCGGCUGGGCCUGAGCAGGAAAGAGGACCCCAGCCAGACAGAGGCCCCCCAGCUACAGGACAAGGCCCCAUCGGCCAACAUAGGUGUCUACCUCUAAGAUGCUGCCUGAAGUAGGAUCCCAUCCCCGGGACCAUCCCCACGUGGUCCUGCCUGCCAGGACCCUGCAUGCAGGAGGGGCUCAUGCAAAGAGCAGGGUGCCUGGGAGGGGAGGUAGGGCACUGAACAAGCGCCUAUAGUGCUCCAGGUUGUAUGCUGUGUGCUUGACACAGUUACCUCACUUGAUCCCCAGAACAGUCUGUUCUAGAACAAAACUGUCCAAUGGGAAUGAAACAAGAACAGCAAAUUCAAGCCACAUGUGUGAUGCAAAAUGUUCUAGGAGUCAUGAGAGAAAAAGUGAUAUCAAUUUUUCUAAUGUAUUCUAUUGAGCCUAGUAUACCCAAAAUAUUAUCGUUUCAACUCAUAAUCAAUAUUUUUAAAGCAUUGAGAUAUUUUCUUCUUUUUUAAAAAACUUGGUUUGAAUAAUCUACAUUUCAAGUGGUCACUUGCUGAGAGGCUCAUGGCUGUCAAAUCAGACCAACAGUGGGCUAUGGGCUCAGGGGUUUCUGGGCUGUGACCUCAGGUAUCAUUUUUUAUCACAAUGUUAUCUAAUAUAUCUCACUCACAUGAGGCCAGGAUUAACCUCUUUAAUCCAUAUAACCACCUUGUGUGAUAAUAAUAGGAUCUAUUAUUAUCAUCGAUCUCACUUAACAGAUAGGGAAACUGAGCACAAAAGCAGCAGAAACACACCCAAAGGCCACAGGGCUAGUGAAUAAAACCUCUGGGUAGGGACAAAGGUGGCCUGGUUCACGAUCUGCAGCUUAACCAGACUUGGACAAAGCAGGUGUUCAAUCGGUAUUUGAAGGAUAGAGGACUAAGAGGGAUAGUUACUCUCCAUUCACUGAUGGAAUUGAGGCCCAGAGAAGUUAAGUGAAUUUCAUAAUGUCACACAGCUAGAAGACAUCCAAGUCAUUGUAAAACUAGGUGUGUCAAAGGGUUUUUCACAGGAAGAGUGGAUUGUUUCUGGCCUGUUUUACCUAGUGGCCAGUUUUUAGAGCUGAAAUUGGCACACAUCGAGAUGAAGGAGGAAUUUCUAACCAGGAGAACAGGAUGGAAGGAGAAGAGGACAGAUCCAUUCCAGCAUGUGCAGGGGCUAAGGUGGGGACACACAGGUAGUGGCGACAACCAGAGGGCCUGGAAGUGAUCAGAAGGAGAGAGUGAAAGCCCUCUGCCCUCAGGGAGGCUCUACUGCCUCUAACCCAGCUCAGGGCCACCUCAGCCAGACUCCAGGGGGAAAGGAUGCUCUUGGUCCCCUUUCUAUACGAUUUCCCAUCCUGGGCUCACCCCUCCCAGUCCCUCCAGGCUCCUCCAGCCCUCAGGGAAGAUCUGGUGACUUAAACCAGGGAUUGCACUGGGACGUCACAGCUAGAAACCCACCAUCACCCAGGGAAUGGAAGGGAAGGCUCUGGCCAGCAGGUCAGAAUCAGCGCCAGCUGUGAGUGUGGAAGUCAAGGCAGCAGAUUCAUGCCUCAAGGCUGCUGCCCCUGGGCCUCCUGGUGCCUGGGAGGAGUCUGGGAUGAGCUGCAACAACCUCACCUGAAUUUCUGUGGCUCAUCUAGCAGGUAGAAACCCAUCUGGUAGAGCUCUUGCUGUGGCCCCUGGAGGUGGGAGCAGCCCCGCCCGAGAAUGGAGGGAAUCUGGGAGGGGAGAGCCUCCCUCUUCUGUUCUCUCUUUCCUUCUUCCUCUCCCCCUCCCUCCCUUCUUCACCUACUUUAGAAAAAGAUUGAAAGCAUGAAAAGCUCAUUCCUUACCCAUCCCCAUACAACUCAGCUAUUGGCUUUAAGAUCUGCUAAAAUGUUUCCCAGACCUAGAAUUCAGAUCUUAAUGUUGUUAUUCGUACACGGAAGAGAAACUGUAGGCAUAUUUUCUGUUUAUUAAAAAAAUCAUGUGUAAAAUGGCAUUUUUGGUUGCACAACUCUCCUGGUAUAUUAUUUAUUACGAAGGAAAAUUAUCGUGCUAAGAAAAUAGUGUCACUUAAAAAUUAGGUGGUUCCCAAUCAACUUGUGACAGUAAUUGCUGCAAUGUCCUCUUUGAUUUAGAUAUAGUAAUAUCAAUGUAAUUGCCACUGGGAAAAAAUUAUAAUGGCUGUUAAUGAUAACUAACACAUAAAUGGCAAUGAACAGGAACAUGUAUUUUAUAUCGGAUUCAACCCUAGAGCAGCAGUAAGAAACCCAGUGGUUUCAACAAUCUGGCACUGGUCCCUCAAGGAACCAAGCCCCCCCAGCUCUCCCAUGUAAAUGAGGGGGUGGAGGAUUAUGGGGCAUGCAGGGGCGUCUUCAGCCUCUCCCAGACUCCAUAAUGGGGAUUCCCCCAGCCCUCCCAAGGCAAAGGUAGGGCGGCACCAGAGAAGCCAAUGGCCCAGAGCCUGUCUCUCCCGCAGGGCUGGGAAAGGCGCUAUGAAUGUUCAUUCGGAGGUCAUUCAGUGCCUUUGCUCAUUCCCUGCCUCACUCAACUGUGUGCUAGGCUCUGUGCUGAACUAGGAUGCAAAACCCAAAACGCGGGCUCUUUCCCCCAACUAUAAACUCUAGCACUGCAUUGGUUUUGUAAUAUCUGGAUUCCCCUCCCAUCCCAGCCCAGCAAGGUUUAUAGAAUGAAAGUGUUCACCACAAAGUGGGUGAUGGACAAGACAAGUGGUCCUCAUUGUCCAUUGUCCCCUGACGGGCAUGGAGCCCACAUGAACCACGGGCAUAUCCACUGAAGGUACAGGCUUUCUACUAGGAAAGAGCAUUAUGUUAGUUAUUAGAUGAAUUACCUGGAUGACAUUUGAGCUGAGUCUUUUGCCCACUUAACUUAUUAUUGCCCAUUGUCACUUAGUGAAGGUGACACCUGGGCAAGAGCAGCUCCAGGCAGGAGAUGGUGCAGUAAAAUGAGGGCUAGGAAGGGACCCACUAAAGCCAAGGUGGGUUUGGGGAACCAUAUGCUAGUCUAGACUCUGUCCCAACCCCUGAACACAGGCAAGUCACUUGGCCUCAACAAUAGCAAAGGAGGGCUUAGGCUGCACAGGUGGGUCCAAAAUGUGCUAUGGAUCCAGCUUUACAAUGUGUGUCCCCAUUAAGGCCCCACUCGGAGAGAUUCUAGUUAUGUAGUUCUGAGGGAUCUGACUGUGUAUUUAUGAAGCUCCUUGGGAAAUUCUAAUGAUGAUGAUGAUGUUGAUGUUGAUAUUGAUGAUGACUACAGUUCACUUAAUGAGGGCAAAGUACUAUACUAACUGUUCACUCAGACCUCAUUGUACUCUCAAAACUAACAUGUUAGGUGGUUUCUAAUAGUCAUUCCAUUUUUCAGAUGUGGAUAGGCACAGAGGCUAAGUAACUUGUCAAAAGUUGCACAGUAAGUGUUGAAGCCAAGUUUAGGGUUAGCCAGUUGACUCCAGAGCCCACACUGCUGAUCUAUAUAACAUUCAUAUGUGCUGCUGAUGGGAUUUUAUGUUUGGAACCUUGGCCUAGAUAACCUACAAAGUCCCAUUUGACAUAAUAGCCUAUGAUGAUGUGAUGUUUGAUGGAAAUAACAGGCACAGAAAUGUCCUAAGUAUGGAGAGAGGUCAAGGCUCUAUCUGGGGCAUAGUAGUUGGCAGUCCUGGGCAGCAAGAGACCACCUGGGGGCACCUAUGGAAAUGAGACAGGUGAGACUUCUGUUCCCCAUACUCUAGGUACUGGUAACAACCCUCUCUCACUGCAAGCAAUUGAAAGGAUUGGAUAAACAUCAAAAAUCUUAAAAUCAUGAAGAGGUGACAAAGCAGUUUAAAAAACAUGAGGCCGAAAUCUAAGAGGAAGGGGAAACACAGAGAAGGAGGUGGAGCACUGAAGCCACUUCUACUGUGAAGGAAAUUGCCAAGAAUGGGACCCCUGAGCUUCAGUUUCCACAGCUUUGCAAGAUGCUUGGGACAAAAGCUUAAGCCCUGGGCCAUCCAAAGUGAUGAGCCUUGAUGCUGAGCAUAGAAAGGGAAAAGAAAAAAGUCCUUAACAAUUGUAAUCACAAGGCCACUCUUGUUAGGAUUUAUAAGUCAAAUUCACAUGAUCUGGUUAGUCAAAUACAAUGAACAAACAAAAAACCUCAAACCCAUGAAUUUAGUGCAAUGUGGACCCAACAGAUAGUGCACCAAAAGUGUCAGGAAGAAACAAACAUAAAUUCUCUCCGAAGGAAUACAUUUUCAUCUUAUGCCUCAAAGAAUUCUCACAAGGAAAAUGAACAGACACAAUUAAAUAUACUCAAUUAAAAAAAAAACAUGCUAUGAACCAGAAAAAGCAGAAAUGGAGUUCCCAUUGUGGCUCAGUGGUUAACAAACCCAACUAGUAACCAUGAGGUUUCAGGUUCAAUCCCUGGCUUUGCUCAGUGGGUUAAGGAUCCAGCAUUGCUGUGAGCUGUGGCGUAGGUUGCAGAUGUGGCUUGGAUCCCAUAUUGCUGUGGCUGUGGCACAGGCCAGCAGCUACAGCUCUGAUUAUACCCCUAUCCUCGGAACCUCCAUAUGCCACAGGUGUGGCCCUAAAAAAGACAAAAAG
rnacentral:lncRNA from 1 species